GAUGAACGCUAGCUACAGGCUAACACAUGCAAGUCGAGGGGCAUCAGGAAGAAAGCUUGCUUUCUUUGCUGGCGACCGGCGCACGGGUGAGUAACACGUAUCCAACCUGCCCUUUACUCGGGGAUAGCCUUUCGAAAGAAAGAUUAAUACCCGAUAGCAUAAUGAUUCCGCAUGGUUUCAUUAUUAAAGGAUUCCGGUAAAGGAUGGGGAUGCGUUCCAUUAGGUUGUUGGUGAGGUAACGGCCCACCAAGCCUUCGAUGGAUAGGGGUUCUGAGAGGAAGGUCCCCCACAUUGGAACUGAGACACGGUCCAAACUCCUACGGGAGGCAGCAGUGAGGAAUAUUGGUCAAUGGGCGCUAGCCUGAACCAGCCAAGUAGCGUGAAGGAUGAAGGCUCUAUGGGUCGUAAACUUCUUUUAUAUAAGAAUAAAGUGCAGUAUGUAUACUGUUUUGUAUGUAUUAUAUGAAUGAGGAUCGGCUAACUCCGUGCCAGCAGCCGCGGUAAUACGGAGGAUCCGAGCGUUAUCCGGAUUUAUUGGGUUUAAAGGGAGCGUAGGUGGACUGGUAAGUCAGUUGUGAAAGUUUGCGGCUCAACCGUAAAAUUGCAGUUGAUACUGUCAGUCUUGAGUACAGUAGAGGUGGGCGGAAUUCCUAGUGUAGCGGUGAAAUGCGUAGAUAUUAGGAGGAACACCAGUGGCGAAGGCGGCCUACUGGGCUGUAACUGACGCUGA
rnacentral:rRNA from 1 species